UACGUAGGGUGCAAGCGUUAUCCGGAAUUAUUGGGCGUAAAGAGCUCGUAGGCGGUUUGUCGCGUCUGCUGUGAAAACUGGGGGCUCAACCCCCAGCCUGCAGUGGGUACGGGCAGACUAGAGUGCGGUAGGGGAGAUUGGAAUUCCUGGUGUAGCGGUGGAAUGCGCAGAUAUCGGGAGGAACACCUAUGGCGAAGGCAGCUCGCUGGGACGUUACUGACGCUGAGACGCGAAAGCGUGGGGAGCAAACAGG
rnacentral:rRNA from 1 species